UACGUAGGGCGCAAGCGUUGUCCGGAAUUAUUGGGCGUAAAGAGCUCGUAGGCGGCUUGUCACGUCGGGUGUGAAAGCCCGGGGCUUAACCCCGGGUCUGCAUUCGAUACGGGCUAGCUAGAGUGUGGUAGGGGAGAUCGGAAUUCCUGGUGUAGCGGUGAAAUGCGCAGAUAUCAGGAGGAACACCGGUGGCGAAGGCGGAUCUCUGGGCCAACACUGACGCUGAUGCGCGAAAGCCAGGGGAGCAAACGGG
rnacentral:rRNA from 1 species